rnacentral:rRNA from 1 species
AACGAACGCUGGCGGCAUGCCUAACACAUGCAAGUCGAACGAGACCUUCGGGUCUAGUGGCGCACGGGUGCGUCACGUGUGGGAACCUGCCCUUAGGUUCGGAAUAACACCCCGAAAGGGGUGCUAAUACCGGAUAACGUCUUCGGACCAAAGAUUUAUCGCCUUUGGAUGGGCCCGCGUUGGAUUAGCUUGUUGGUAGGGUAAAAGCCUACCAAGGCGACGAUCCAUAGCUGGUCUGAGAGGAUGAUCAGCCACACUGGGACUGGGACACGGCCCAGACUCCUACGGGAGGCAGCAGUGGGGAAUAUUGGACUAUGGGCGGAAGCCUGAUCCAGCAAGGCCGCGUGAGUGAUGAAGGCCUUAGGGAUGUAAAGCUCUUUUACCCGGGAUGAUAAUGACAGUACCGGGAGAAUAAGCACCGGCUAACUCCGUG